rnacentral:rRNA from 1 species
CGAUUCUGGCUCAGGAUGAACGCUAGCGACAGGCUUAACACAUGCAAGUCGAGGGGCAGCAUAGAAGUAGCAAUACUUGGUGGCGACCGGCGCACGGGUGAGUAACGCGUAUGCAACCUACCUAUCAGGAGGGGAAUAACCCGGCGAAAGUCGGACUAAUACCGCAUAAAACAGGGGCACCGCAUGGUGAUAUUUGUUAAAGAAAUUCGCUGAUAGAUGGGCAUGCGUUCCAUUAGGUAGUUGGUGAGGUAACGGCUCACCAAGCCGACGAUGGAUAGGGGAACUGAGAGGUUGGUCCCCCACACUGGUACUGAGACACGGACCAGACUCCUACGGGAGGCAGCAGUGAGGAAUAUUGGUCAAUGGGCGGGAGCCUGAACCAGCCAAGUCGCGUGAAGGAAGAAGGAUCUAUGGUUCGUAAACUUCUUUGCAGGGGAAUAAAGUGCGGGACGUGUCCUGUUUUGUAUGUACCCUGAGAAUAAGGAUCGGCUAACUCCGUGCCAGCCGCAGC